rnacentral:rRNA from 1 species
AGUGAACGCUGGCGGUAGGCCUAACACAUGCAAGUCGAACGGCAGCACAGUAAGAGCUUGCUCUUACGGGUGGCGAGUGGCGGACGGGUGAGGGAUACAUCGGAAUCUACUUUUUCGUGGGGGAUAACGUAGGGAAACUUACGCCAAUACCGCAUACGACCUACGGGUGAAAGCAGGGGAUCUUCGGACCUUGCGCGAUCGAAUGAGCCGAUGUCGGAUUAGCUAGUUGGCGGGGUAAAGGCCCACCAAGGCGACGAUCCGUAGCUGGUCUGAGAGGAUGAUCAGCCACACUGGAACUGAGACACGGUCCAGACUCCUACGGGAGGCAGCAGUGGGGAAUAUUGGACAAUGGGCGCAAGCCUGAUCCAGCCAUGCCACGUGGGUGAAGAAGGCCUUCGGGUUGUAAAGCCCUUUUGUUGGGAAAGAAAAGCAGCAGGUUAAUACCCCGCUGUUCUGACGGUACCCAAAGAAUAAGCACCGGCUAACUUCGUG